GGCAGCCUUUCUAGGAGCUGGUUCUUUCUAAGGAUACCAGGCUCCUUCCUGGAAGGCUUUGAUUGUCCUGCAACAAGUGCAUUGAUGACAAAAUGGAAUGCAGUGCUCAGCCCUCCUGGCCUCCUGCCUGAUUCUCUUCGGAGUGCACCACAUGGGUGGAAGAGCUGCCCCCACCACAUACAGCCCUCACCCACAGUGUGAUGGGUAGAACCAGGACCAGAUCUACCGGGAGCCCUCCUCCCACACACCGUGGCUUCUAUGAAAGGACUAAAUUUAGGACCUGAAACCAGCUGAAAUGGGGACAGCAGAGCCUGCUGCGCCGCAGCUGCCCAUCCAGGUAAGGAAACCAUGGCACAGAGAGGUUAGCAACAUGUCCCAAAUCACAUAGAAAGGCCUCCCUCUCUGCACACCGAGAGACCAAAUAUACAAACGGACAAUGGCCAAACCGUAUAUGAUAAUAGAACUCUUU
rnacentral:lncRNA from 10 species